AUCCAGACCCUCAAGUUAGCGGCCAGGUACAUCGACUUCCUCUACCAGGUCCUCCAGAGCGACGAGCUGGACUCCAAGAUGGCAAGCUGCAGCUAUGUGGCCCACGAGCGGCUCAGCUACGCCUUCUCGGUCUGGAGGAUGGAGGGGGCCUGGUCCAUGUCCGCGUCCCACUAGCAGGCGGAGCUCCCCACCCCCUCGGCAGGGCCGGAGACCUAGAUGUCAUUGUUUCCAGAGAAGGAGAAAAUGGACAGUCUAGAGACUCUGGAGCUGGAUAACUAAAAAUUAAAUAUAUAUGCCAAAGAUUUUCUUGGAAGUUAGAAGAGCAGAACCCAAAUUCAAAGAAACAGGGCGUGGGGCGCACUUUUAAAAGAGAAAGCGAGACAGGCCCGUGGACAGUGAUUCCCAGACGGGCAGCGGCACCAUCCUCACACCUCUACAUUCUGAUAGAAGUCUGAACAGUUGUUUGUGUUCCUUUUUUUUUUUUUUGACGAAGAAUGUUUUUAUUUUUAUUUUUUCAUGCAUGCAUUCUCAAGAGGUCGUGCCAAUCAGCCACUGAAAGGAAAGGCAUCAUUAUGGACUUUCUCCAUUUUAAAAUGGUUAACAACCAGAGGAAUUUUAAGAACGUCUUUAGAAAUAAAAAUACGGGGAUCAAACUGACUUGCAAAAUCACAGUCAGUUAAUUCCUUUUUACAUCUUCCUCUGAGAGAAAAAAAACUUAAAAUACAAAAAACAACAUUCUAUUUAUUUAUUGAUGACCCAUGGUAAAAUGCAAAUAGAUCCGGUGUCUAAAUGCAUUCAUAUUUUUAUGAUUGUUUUGUAAAUAUCUUUGUAUAUUAUUUUUCUGCAAUAAAUAAAUAUGAUUGAAAAUUUUAAGAA